UACGGAGGGAGCUAGCGUUGUUCGGAAUUACUGGGCGUAAAGCGCACGUAGGCGGCGAUUCAAGUCAGAGGUGAAAGCCCGGGGCUCAACCCCGGAACUGCCUUUGAAACUAGAUUGCUAGAAUCCUGGAGAGGUGAGUGGAAUUCCGAGUGUAGAGGUGAAAUUCGUAGAUAUUCGGAAGAACACCAAGUGGCGAAGGCGACUCACUGGACAGGUAUUGACGCUGAGGUGCGAAAGCGUGGGGGAGCAAACAGG
rnacentral:rRNA from 1 species